AAGUGUUGUCCUCAUGUUUCAAGAUGACAGCUGGAGAUCCAUAUAUCAUGCUUGCACUCUAGGAUGGCAGCAGAGUGAAGGGAACUUAAGAAGAUUUCCUGAAGAGUAAAGACUUGGAACAAGGAAGAGACAGAGCCAUGAUGGGGGAAGAGCACUGCAGGCAGAGAGAAGAAGCACAGAGGCCCUGAGGAUCGCCAAAGCUGUGAUGAAAAUACCAGGGGCAAAGAGGUAGAGAAACUGAGUCUCAGAAAGAUUGAGCCAUUGUUCCAACUUCCUACAGUUAAAUAGAGGUUUUGCUGGAAUUGAAAGUUAGGUUUGCAUCAUAGGUAAAUGUUGCUUCAGUUAAAAUAUUUUGCACGAACCCUAUAAUUUCUGAUUGAUACCCAUCCCCAAAUGAUUACUUGUGACUAAUCUUGGUUUAACAUAGCACAC